AGUAGUCCACGCUGUAAACGAUGGGUACUAGGCAUUGGAGGCUCGACCCCUCCAGUGGUGUAAGCUAACGCGUUAAGUACCCCGCCUGGGAACUACGGUCGCAAGACUAAAACUCAAAGGAAUAGACGGGGACCCGCACAAGCGGUGGAGCGUGUGGUUUAAUUCGACACUAAGCGAGGAACCUUAUCCAAGGCAAGACGCUAGGAGAACGUCUCUGAAAAGAGACCGUGCCUGCUUGCAGGAACUCUUAGAUCAGGUGUUGCAUGGCUGUCGUCAGCUCAUGUCGUGAGAUGUUCGGUUAAGUCCGGGAAUGAGCGCAGCCCCUGUCUCAUGUUAUUAUGUCAUGAGAUACUGCCGGCAAAUAGUCGGAGGAAGGUGGGGAUGACGUCAAGUCCGUAUGGCCUUUGAUGCCUUGGGCUACACACGCGCUACAAUGGAUGGUACAAUGGGUUGCGAAGUGGUAACACGGAGCUAAUCCCACCAAAGCCAUUCUCAGUUCGGAUUGAGGUCUGCAACUCGACCUCAUGAAGUUGGAAUCGCUAGUAACGGCGAAUCAGAACGUCGCCGUGAAUACGUUAUCGGGUCUUGUACUCACCGCCCGUCACAUCAGAAGAGUCGGUAAUACCCGAAGUUGCUUGUUUACAAGCAACCACGGUAGGACCGGUGAUUAGGAUGAAGUCGUAACAAGGUA
rnacentral:rRNA from 1 species